rnacentral:ncRNA from 1 species
UUUGCUGAAUUUAAGCAUAUUAAUAAGUGGAAAAAAAGAAAUUAACAAAAAUUGUUUUAAUAACAAUAAAUGAAGCGGUAACAAUUUAAAUUUAAAAUUUGAAGUUUUUUAGCUUCUGAAUUAUAAUUUGAAAAAAAUGUUUUGGUACGACUUGGGCUUAAGUUCCUUAGAACAGAACAUUAUAAAAAAUAAGAAUUUUGUAUAUAGUUGUAAAUUUAUUUUUAUAUAAAACUCUUUUGAAAAAUCGAAUUAUUUAAAAAUACAAUUUAAAAUAAAUAAUAAAUUUUAUUUAAAAUUAAAUAUUAACAAAAAACCGAUAACAUAUAAAUAAAAUGAUUGAAAGAUAAAAAACAUUUUAAAAAAAAAGUUAAACAAUAUAUGAAAUUAUUGAAAAAAAAGCGUUUAUAAUUAGAUUUACCUUCAACUAAUUAAUUUUUUUUUGGUUAAUAUACUUUGUUGUUGGUGAGCUAGCAUCAAUUAAAGUAGUAGGAUAAAGGCAACAAGAAUAUAGUUCAUUUUAACAAAUAUUAUAAUUUACUAUAUCAUACUAUUAGUUCUAAUUAAAAUCUGUGGUUUAUUUAGAAUGUUAACUUAAUAGUUGUAAGUGAUUUGUUUUGAAAUAUGG